rnacentral:lncRNA from 1 species
GACCCUCAUGCAGUGGGGGAGGCUUCCAGGGGGUGCUGUGGCUCCGGGACGGCUCCCCACCCGUGCCCUGGCAUCUCAGGGGCUGCUCGCGGGUGUGCCCAGGGCUGGGUGCAGCGCUGGUGGCGUUUCCUCUCUCUCCGGUGCAGACGACCUCAUCUGGGUGCAGCAGGGCCCAGGAGUGCCCCUGUGGCGUGCACAGGUGAGGGUGACGGGCGUGCAGACACGCAAGCAGCAGCUGCGCUCUGGCCACAAAGUGCCAGGGACCCCUGCCCGGGCUCGGGGUUUGCUUCUGCCGCCCGUGCCAGGCCUGCUCUGGCCUCUUGCCUGUGUCUGCUGCUGACGACAGAUGCCCCGGUGGUCUGGGAGCGUCGCUUUGACCUUGGUCACCCAGGGAGGGCAGACCUUGGGACCUGCUCUGCCCCUCUGCUCUGGUACAGAUGCCCACUGGACACUUCCCUGCAGAGCCACACCCGCGGCCCCCAAGGAACAGACUCGUGGACGCACCCAGCGUCAGCCCGCGGUUCAGAAUGCACAGUGUGUGGCUGGGGCUGUGCUGUCCAGGAGACCCCUCCCUCCUGGGGCCGCUCCAGCACCUGCAGGCUCCUUCGCCCUCUGACGACAGCCCAGCAGGACUGCCCCUGCUCCUUGGGCCUCGCCUUGGUUUUGCUUGGUUGCCUGUUUUUCCACACCAUUUGCUCCUCACUGGCCCUGCACAUUCUCCAUAUUAAUCACCUGAAGGUUGUUCAAAAGAAAACCAGUGUGCCCCCGCCCCACCCCAAAGGUCAGAUGUGGCCAUGCUGGGUGGACGCCGGCAGGACAGGGGGCAGAAGCUCCACGUGGGGCUCCAGCAGCACCCACGGUCCACGCUUGGCCCCUGCAGGCACCGGCGAGGGGCGCACUGCCCCGAAGCCGCCUCCCUGCCCCCAGCCCCUCCUUUCUGGAAGUACCUGCCCUGCUGGGGAGCUAGCGGGCCUUGCGGGGGGGUUCCAUGCGAUGAAGACCCCCCGCCCCGCCAAGAGGCCCAGGAGGGAGAUGCAAGACCACGGAUCUCUGUGCUGCGGGUUCCUGUGA